AGGAACGUAAAAACACGGUUCGGUUGGUAGUCCGAGCGCAUGAGGUCAUCCUUCAUGUCAGUAACCUUCCUCCCUUGGGGUCGUCCGUCGUUCCGGUA
rnacentral:ncRNA from 1 species